CGUCCCCCGCUUUUAUUGUCCCGUACCGCGACGGGUAAUGGGGAUCUUGUAUCCGCUAGGGUUUGGGUAUCUGCGGAUAUUUGUGGAUUUUUUUUAAACAAAAAAAAUGAAAAUAAUUAAACAAAAUUAGAGAUAACAAAUACUCCAAUGAUAACAGCAAAUCCACAAAUGAAUAAGGCAAAUCUAUAGCAACUUUGAUAACGGAAUUAAAAUACACAAAACAUAGAUAGUAAUAACAGCAAAUCUACAGAUACAGUGAUAACAGCAAAUCACAUAUGAAGAACGACGUAGACGGCGACCCUCAAUGCUGCCACGAAAACGGCGACGACGACCCUCCUUACUGUGACGAAGACGACGUUGAGAGAACCCUUCCUACUGUGACGAAGAUGGCGAUGGCAAUCCUCACUGCUUCAACAAAGAUGACGACUGCGACACUCACGGACGCGUGAAGAGUGAAGAUGCCAACAAUGGAUGAUGAACGACGAAGAAGGUGAUGCGAUUUCAGUGAGAAAAAGGAGUGCGGGUGCGCGACGGUGAGGGUUUAGGGUGCCAGUGGGCGGCAGACGGCGAAACGGCAUUGGGAAAAAGGUGGAUUGGAGAGGACAAGAAGUUGAGGUUUCGUGAAUGAUUUCAUCAAAAUUUGGACGAAGAGAGGGAGUGUGAAUGAUGGCUUAGGGUUCACAGGAGGGUUUGAAACUAUAUGUAUAUGAAGGGCAUUUUGAUCAUUUUUUAUAACGGAAUUAUACGGAAGACCUCUGUUUCCGUUUCCGUCCCGUUUAUUAUACAGGUCUGUCCCUGUAAACCCCGAUUAAAUUAGUAAAUAAUUAGUCAAUAAAUUAGUUUUUAAUAAGGAGGAUUAAAAAUGUGAAUAUUAUAUCAAAUUAGGAUAGAGCUCAUCGAAACGAGAAUUUUGACACCAAUUUCGAAGAAAACGGUCUAAAAUUGGACCGAACGGGCCAAACCGGACCGUCGGUCCAACCGGACCAACUCAUUAAAAUGAAGCUGAACCCCUUUCUCUCCCUCAUUUGGAUGCAGCAGCGUGAAACACUUCCAGGGAGGGGAGAAAGCUUCCGUAACUUUACGGUAAAUUUCCGAUCCCCGAAACUUCUCCGUCCGAGCUCCAAUCGCCGCACCGUUUGCGGCCACGCGUCCACCGCGUCGAGCUCUACAUUUCUACCGAAACAAUUUUACUGGUAACUUGUUUAAUCACUCUCAGCCCUCUUUUUCCCCAAUUUUCGAAUUUUAAGUGGGAAUGUUGAAUUUCUUUGAUUUCUGAUAUUUUAGGAUCCAAUUAGCUUGAGAGAAACGUUCACUCUUGCUUAUGUGAAGCUUGGGUAAGGUGAGGAUACGAUAAUUCUAUUUUAUUUUCAUUGAAUUUGAGCUUUGAGUAUUAAAUUGGAUAUAUAUGUGUUAUGAAUGUGUAUUAGGUUGUGAAUAAAUAAUUGGAGCUGGGAAUUGUGAAUACUGGAACUUGGAGGAAGCGGAUUAGUUGAGUUUUGAGGGGCUACCUUGGUUUUGAAUAAAUAGCUUUGGUCGUUACGUGGAAAUCGGCCAAGGUAUGGUUUAGGUUUCUUGCAUUUAAUAUAUAAUGUUCUGUGAAAACUUAGGCUAGAUGACCAUUGGAUAAGUUGGAAUGCAGGUGUAUGUUUAAUGUUUAGUAAUUUGUCGAUAAAUAUAUUUGGUUGAAGUUUAUUGGAUAAUUAGUUUUUAAUUUUGGAUGGUGAAUGUUGUUAUGUUAAUUUGGAGAGAAUUAUGGUUGAAUGUUAUUGUUGAUGAACAUAGUUAGUUUGGUGCUUGUUGAUUAACUAAUGAUUUGGUGAAUUAUUGAUUUGAGGUUUAAUUAUUGUGGAGGUUGUGAUAAUGAGGUAUUUUGUGUUAAAAGCCUAGGAUUUGUGAACUAUGAUUCUUAGUUGGAUUUUGGUUGUUGGACUUGAAUAUUGCAUGAGUUUAAUUGUUGAUCUGAGGUAGAUUUAUUGUGGUGAUUGUUAUGAUGAUGAGAAAGGGUAUGUUGAAUUGAAAAGAAUGCAGGUUUGGACCCGAAAAGGGUGGCAAAGUCCGAGUUUUAGAAGAGGUGCUGCCGAAAUUUUAUAAAAAAUUAGAGAUUUUAUUUAGAUAAUUAUUUAAAAGAGAUUUAGAUUUAAAGGUUAUAUGGUUUGAUUUUGAGUCAUUAAGAAAAUGAGUGUGUUUUAAGUUUGAAGUUUGAUUCGUAGAAAAGAAUGAAUUAUAUUUUGAAUUGGAACUAUUGAUGGAU
rnacentral:lncRNA from 1 species